CAGGAAACCGUGGUAGCCAUCGCCAAUUCCUGUGGCGGGCACCGGUAACUGUGACUGCGUAUCAUAUAUCCGCCAAUGUCACGAUGGGGGUCGACGAAGUAUAAGUCUAAUUUAGCUUGCUGCGCUGAUUCUAAUGCGUUCAUCUGAAGCAACUUUAUUACCUAUACAAUAAGUAACGGUGCUAUUGUCAAAAAGAGGACGACCCUUAUUAAGGUACAAGGAUUACACAUACUCUAAGUACCCAUAUCCCCCGAAGAUUGGUCUCCGAUGGUACUGUUCCAAGGUGAAGAACUGCAGAGCCUACCUUCUCACUACUCACGACUACAUCGUCAUACAUUCUACGGGAAACCACAACCAUGAACCGUUAACUGAUAGGAUUGAUAAAGCACUUUAUAAAUACAAGUUCGACUUCUGCGUUCGAGAAAAAAUCGCCCUCUUCUGUUGUAUAGAAGCUACACCUACAACCUACACAAAUCCUCGAGAAUUAACAAGCGAUGGCUGUGCUCCUCACGAAAAUCCAAGGCAUGCAAAGCCAGCAUUACUACCGACAAUACGGGGCAGAUUAUCAGAAAAUCAUUCUUAUGCCACAAUCAUGUAGUCAAGAAUUUCUACAUUACGAAGGACGGGUCGUUCUAUAAUAUUUGAAUUUUCUUCAGUACGCUAUAAAUAAUAAAUAAAAAACACAACAAUAUUGCACGUUGAAACCAAUCAAAUUUAAAAUUAUUUUCAGAGACAUUAAAGCUCAUUUACCGAAAGUUAACUUUUAUGUUACAGUAUUGGUUUCAACGUGUCAUAUCGUCGCCUUACUUUCUCAAACUCGUAUCUUAAAACACAAAGUUACAGAAAUGCAAAAAAAUAUUUGUUAUACAAAUUUGGCUGGCUGAUUUCACUUCACGUUUCCUUCAUAUUCACACACUGUUUACCUAUACUUAAAGUAAUGCAUUCAAAUUAAC